rnacentral:rRNA from 1 species
ACGGGAUAAUAUAUUUGAGAGGCAUCUCUUGAAUAUCAAAGGUGAGCCAGUACAGGAUGGACCCGCGUCUGAUUAGCUAGUUGGUAAGGUAACGGCUUACCAAGGCAACGAUCAGUAGCCGACCUGAGAGGGUGAUCGGCCACAUUGGAACUGAGACACGGUCCAAACUCCUACGGGAGGCAGCAGUGGGGAAUAUUGCACAAUGGGCGAAAG